GACUGCAGGCUGCAACUCGCCUGCACGAAGUUGGAAUUGCUAGUAAUCGCGGACCAGCAUGCCGCGGUGAAUACGUUCCCGGGCCUUGUACACACCGCCCGUCACACCAUGGGAGUUGGUAACACCCGAAGUCAGUAGCCUAACCGCAAGGAGGGCGCUGCCGAAGGUGGGAUCGAUGACUGGGGUGAAGUCGUAACAAGGUACC
rnacentral:rRNA from 1 species